rnacentral:lncRNA from 1 species
GUGCAUUAGUGUGAGGGAAGCACUAAAAAGAGGAGGAGUGAAAGAGCAAAAGGAGGUGAGCUGCUGUGUAUCCGCAUGCUAAUGCAAACCACAAAACACAGGAAAUAAAAAAAAUAACAGAAGUUUGCUUUUCUUUCACCGCCGUGUCUGUGGAUGCUGUUUUUGGUCUUUCUUUCUGUUUGUCAUUUCUAUUUUUAUUUUGCGUUACAGCCUGUAAUGUCAUCAUAGUCUCCUCAGGUUCACUUUCUAUUGCUUGGUCCAUUCCAACAGGCUGUGAAGAGCUGACGGACUAAAGGACACUUGCGUUUGUAAGGACAGUCUGAGGUCGACUGCUGGACCCGUGUUAGCUACAGGCUGUGACCUUUGACCCAAGAGGUGCUCCAAACGUUGAAGGCCCUGUACUGAUUUUACAGAGAUUAUGGGAAACCAAAUAUGUUGCGGUAAAUGGAAACAUGGCAGUAAAAAUACUGAUGGGAAAGAUGACACCAAAGUGGAUAAUGAAAAGUCAUAUGGGUGGAAUCGUCCUCUGCCGGUCCCAUGUGCUGCAGCCACACUCUCUGUCCCACUUGGAAGCGCAGUUGGCGUGGGUGUCGGCGGUCAUGUUGGGCAGACGUCCAGUGGGUGGAGGUGAAAGACUGCGCUGUUCUCCAGGCGUUUUGGCAGCAACGGAUCAUCUGACAGGCCGAUGGGAUCCAACCUGUGGGGAACUGGUGGGCGAAGUUGACGGGAUUAAAUCCGUACCAGACUUCAAAAGGGCUGUGUCCGGUGGCAGACAAAGAAGGUAACCAGGCCAGGUGCGUUGAUGGUCAAAGCACCGCAGGUAUCGUCCCAGCUGUUGGUUGGUUUUCUCCACAUGGCCGUUGGUCUGAGAGUGGUAGCCAGAGGAGAGACUGCUGGUGGAACCAAUGAGGCGGCAGAAGGCCUUCCACACAGCUGAGACAAAUUGGGGUCCCCGAUCGGAGACAAUGUCCUGGGGGAACCCAUGAAGGCGGACGACAUGUUGGAGCAUGAGGUCAGCAGUUGUGGCAGAGGACGGUAGGCCAGGCAGGGUGACCAUAUAUAUCCUGAUCACCUUGGAGAAGCGAUCCACUAUGGUGGAUCGCCAUUGGGGUUAGAUUCUUUUUAGAGUGAUUUUAUUGAGGCCACGAUAGUCAACGCAGGGUCUCAGUCCACCAUCCAUCUUAGAGAUGAAGGACUUCAGCCGGUGAGGUCGAUGGGUGGAUGGUGCCGUUCUGAAGCGCCGUUGGUGCCGUUCUGAAGCGCCUCUGCUGCAAACUGCUCCAUGGCCAAAUGUUCUGCUUUCGAGAGGGAGUAGAGAUGUUCUCUAGGUUGUGUGGUUCCUGGUAGCAGGUCAAUGGCCAUGUCGCCUGGCCGAUGAGGUGGCAGCUGGGCAGAUUUGGACGGGCUGAAGAUGGCGACUAGGUCAUGGUAACAUGGAGGAACGGCAUCUAGGACAGGACCAUUUGAUUCAGAAUUCGAGGUGGAGGACAAGGUGGCAGAAGGCAGUGGCGAUGGCAACUCCAACCCACUCCAACCCACUCCAACACCACGCCCGAUGACCAUGAGAGGUGAGGUUCAUGGAGUGACAGCCAGGGGAACCCGAGGAGGAGAAGUGAUGUGAAGAAAUAGAUUUUUUUCCACAUGAGAGGCGCUCGGGAGCUGUAGAGCCUCCGGUGGGUGAAGGGUCCUGAAGAAAUGGGUCGACCGUCUACGGAGGUGAUGGUGAGUGGAGAUGCGAGGGGUUCCAUGAGGAUGUGAUGUGAUCUAAAGAAUGAGAAGUCUAUGAAGUUCCCGGCCGCACCGCCGUGCUGGUUCCAUUCCAGGACGGCUGAGAGGGUGAGUCGUGAUGUCGGCAUUGAUGAAGGAGGAAGGAGUGGUCCAGUUGAUCGUGCUGCUCCAAUCAGCUGGGCACCCCAUUUCCUGGUCAAAUGGGGCAGGCUGUGCGGCUGUGUGAAGGGGAAACGCAGUAUGCACACAAGCCCUCCCGAAAACGCCUCUGUCUGUCCUGAUCGGUGAGGGCUGCCCGCCUAAGCUGCAUGGGUUCGCCCCAAUUGUCUGAAGGAGUGAUGGUAGGUAGAGGUGGUGAAAACGAAGGUCAGGGCUACCGGAGUUGUCGCCGCAGUUUUGGCAGCCAGGGUCCAGAAUCGUGCGGUGAACUGACUGAGGACCUCUGGCGCAGGUGAAAGGUUGCGACGCAACAUCUUCCACGCCGUCCGGAUGGCAGAAUGUAUUUUUUAAUUCUGCCACAAAGGCUGGAUAAGUCAGCGACGUGGAAGCAGGGGCGUUCAACUGCGCGGCUGCCCACUCUGCAGCAGGGCCAGUCAGAAGCGAGAGGAGCAGCAAGAGGAACAGCGCUAUCUGCGAUCGGGAAGUGGGGAAAUUGCGAGGCUGCAACUCGAAAAUAAAAGACAAGGUGGUCGCCGCUCCCCUUGGUAC